rnacentral:rRNA from 1 species
GAUGAACGCUGGCGGCGUGCCUAAUACAUGCAAGUCGAGCGAACAGACAGUGAGCUUUCUCCUCUGACGUUGGCGGCUGGCGGGUGAGUAACACAUGGAUAACCUACUUAUAAUACUGGGAUAACUUCGUGAAACCGGAGCUAAUACCGCAUCAUAUGUUGUACCGCAGGGUUCAAUAGUUAAUGGCAGUUUUGCUGUCAGUUUGAGAUGGUUCCGCGCCGGAUUAGCUAGUUGGUAAGGUAACGGCUUACCAAGGCGACGAUGCGUAGCCGACCUGAGAGGGUGAUCAGCCACACUGGAACUGAGACACGGUCCAGACUCCUACGGGAGGCAGCAGUAGGGAAUAUUCGACAAUGGGCGAAAGCCUGACGGAGCAACGCCGCGUGAGUGAUGAAGGUCUUCGGAUCGUAAAACUCUGUUAUUAGGGAAGAAAAACUGUGUAAGUAAACAUGCACGUCUUGACGGUACCUAAUCAGAAAGCAACGGCUAACUACGUG